CCACGGGCAUGCCUCAGUAGCGGCGAGUGAAGCGGCAAAAGCUCAAAUUUGAAAUCUGGCGUCUUUGGCGUCCGAGUUGUAAUUUGAAGAAGGUAUCUUUGGGCCCGGCUCUUGUCUAUGUUCCUUGGAACAGGACGUCACAGAGGGUGAGAAUCCCGUGCGAUGAGAUGACCCGGGUCUGUGUAAAGUUCCUUCGACGAGUCGAGUUGUUUGGGAAUGCAGCUCUAAGUGGGUGGUAAAUUCCAUCUAAAGCUAAAUAUUGGCGAGAGACCGAUAGCGAACAAGUACAGUGAUGGAAAGAUGAAAAGAACUUUGAAAAGAGAGUGAAAAAGUACGUGAAAUUGUUGAAAGGGAAGGGCUUGAGAUCAGACUUGGUAUUUUGCAUGCUGCUCUCUCGGGGGCGGCCGCUGCGGUUUACCGGGCCAGCAUCGGUUUGGAGCGGCAGGAUAAUGGCGGAGGAAUGUGGCACGGCUUCUGCUGUGUGUUAUAGCCUCUGACGAUGCUGCCAGCCUAGACCGAGGACUGCGGUUUUUAACCUAGGAUGUUGGCAUAAUGAUCUUAAGUCGCCCGUCUUAACCCCGGAGAAACAAUU
rnacentral:rRNA from 1 species